rnacentral:tRNA from 1 species
GACAAACGCGCAAGUCGUCUCGUUCGCAUCGAGAAGGUCAGGGGUUCGAUUCCCCU